rnacentral:rRNA from 1 species
GGAAUAUUGGACAAUGGGCGCAAGCCUGAUCCAGCCAUGCCGCGUGUGUGAAGAAGGCCUUCGGGUUGUAAAGCACUUUCAGUGGGGAGGAAGGGUGUUGUGUUAAUAGCACAGCAUUUUGACGUUACCCACAGAAGAAGCACCGGCUAACUCCGUGCCAGCAGCCGCGGUAAUACGGAGGGUGCAAGCGUUAAUCGGAAUUACUGGGCGUAAAGCGCACGCAGGCGGCUUUUUAAGUCGGAUGUGAAAGCCCCGGGCUCAACCUGGGAAUUGCAUCUGAUACUGGGAAGCUAGAGUAUGUGAGAGGGGGGUAGAAUUCCAAGUGUAGCGGUGAAAUGCGUAGAGGUUUGGAGGAAUACCAGUGGCGAAGGCGGCCCCCUGGCACAAUACUGACGCUCAGGUGCGAAAGCGUGGGGAGCAAACAGGAUUAGAUAUCCUGGUAGUCCACGCCGUAAACGAUGUCUACUAGAUGUUCGUGGUCUUGUACCGUGAGUAUCGCAGCUAACGCAUUAAGUAGACCGCCUGGGGAGUACGGUCGCAAGAUUAAAACUCAAAUGAAUUGACGG